AUGUAAAUUUAUACAACAUAGUGUUAAUGCACCAGAUCCCAUUAGAUCUACAUAGUUAAGUGUGCUCAGGCUAGAGUAGUACUGGGAUGGGUGACUAACCGUGAAGGUCUAAUGUUUUACAUG
rfam:Picea glauca, whole genome shotgun sequence.